rnacentral:rRNA from 1 species
CAGCGCGGGGCAACCUGGCGGCGAGCGGCGAACGGGUGAGUAAUGCAUCGGAACGUGUCCAUGUCGUGGGGGAUAGCCCGGCGAAAGCCGGAUUAAUACCGCAUACGCCCGAGAGGGGAAAGUGGGGGACCGCAAGGCCUCACGCGAUUGGAUCGGCCGAUGUCCGAUUAGCUAGUUGGCGGGGUAAAGGCCCACCAAGGCGAUGAUCGGUAGCUGGUCUGAGAGGAUGAUCAGCCACACUGGGACUGAGACACGGCCCAGACUCCUACGGGAGGCAGCAGUGGGGAAUUUUGGACAAUGGGGGCAACCCUGAUCCAGCCAUUCCGCGUGAGUGAAGAAGGCCUUCGGGUUGUAAAGCUCUUUUGUCCGGAACGAAACGGGUAGCGUGAAUAUCGCUGCCUACUGACGGUACCGGAAGAAUAAGCACCGGCUAACUACGUGCCAGCAGCCGCGGUAAUACGUAGGGUGCGAGCGUUAAUCGGAAUUACUGGGCGUAAAGCGUGCGCAGGCGGUUUUGCAAGCCGGAUGUGAAAUCCCCGGGCUUAACCUGGGAAUGGCAUUUGGGACUGCAAGGCUGGAGUGCGGCAGAGGAGACUGGAAUUCCUGGUGUAGCAGUGAAAUGCGUAGAUAUCAGGAGGAACACCGAUGGCGAAGGCAGGUCUCUGGGCUGACACUGACGCUC